AUUGAACGCUGGCGGCAUGCUUUACACAUGCAAGUCGAACGGUAACAGGUUAAGCUGACGAGUGGCGAACGGGUGAGUAAUGCAUCGGAACGUGCCCGGUCGUGGGGGAUAACGCAGCGAAAGCUGCGCUAAUACCGCAUACGAUCUGAGGAUGAAAGCGGGGGACCGUAAGGCCUCGCGCGAUCGGAGCGGCCGAUGUCAGAUUAGGUAGUUGGUGGGGUAAAGGCCUACCAAGCCGACGAUCUGUAGCUGGUCUGAGAGGACGACCAGCCAAACUGGGACUGAGACACGGCCCAGACGCCUACGGGAGGCAGCAGUGGGGAAUUUUGGACAAUGGGCGCAAGCCUGAUCCAGCAAUGCCGCGUGCAGGAAGAAGGCCUUCGGGUUGUAAACUGCUUUUGUACGGAGCGAAAAGGCUCUCUCUAAUACAGGGGGUUCAUGACGGUACCGUAAGAAUAAGCACCGGCUAACUACGUGCCAGCCGCCGCUGUAA
rnacentral:rRNA from 1 species